UGCAUCAUGGUGUGGACAUUGCCAAAAAUUGCCCCCAUCUUGGACGAAGUGGCUUUGGUGUUCCAGAACUACCCAAGUGGCUUUUACGGGUUUAGCUGUUGUUCAGGGUUGAGGAUGGGUUGACUUGUGAUGAGUUUAGGUUCGAUGGUGUGAUUGUUCUCGGUUCGUACAUUAGAUCUGUUUCCUGGUGGCAGUAAUUUCCGGUUCAGAUAUGUGGUUAUGGGUUUUGCGUAUUGUUUCGGUUAUUGAUGAGAUUCCAAAGCUCUUAUGGCUUCAACUAUGUUCCUACUUUCUAUCUCCUCGGUUAGUGUCAUUUCCAAUUCUCAUAUGAAGAUCCGAUAAAUCUACUUCUACUUCCUGUCUCCAUAUGUUUUACGGAUCCUUUGUUAAAUUAUGUCAUAAAGGAUUGAUCUUUUUCUUCUUUGUGAGCACAUGUAUGUAUCUGAUCUUAUUGUCUUGUGUGGAUCUGUUCUUAUGUCUUGAUUGCUAAUUGAAAUCCAAAGCGUCACACUUUGUCCUCUUGAUCUGCUGUCCUGAGUACUUUUGAGCUGAUCUGAGUCUCUUUUGUUUGUUUAGACCAAUUCCAGUCGAGUUCUUCUGAUUGUAAAAUCAGGAACCUAGGGAGAGUGAGAAGCUACAUUGCCUUAUACCAGCACCUAAAGCAUAUAUGUUACGCCUCUCUCUUGGCCCAAGAGUAUAGAUUAUGUGCCUAUGAACAGAUGACAGCAAACAAGAGGCUACGUUCUGAAUGUGAAGGUAACGAGAGGUGUUGAUAAGGCCGAGGGAGAACUCAGUCAACAAGAGAUCUAUGUUAACGCCAAGUGAAACAACAUGCAAUAGCUUCUUCUUCAUCUCUGUUGUACUCUGUUUUCAGAAGCUGAUUAUCCCAGAGUUCAUUGAGUUCAUUUCACCUUGCAGCUCAUAUGCUUUGUCGAUUGUUUUAAUCGGUGUUGCAGACGGGCGAUGGGAAGACAUGAGGAAGUUUGACGACAAGAUCCCUAAGCGUGAAUUUGACAACUUAUCAUCUCAUUCCCAGUUUUCAGUUCCAUCUGUACCCAUCCCCUUUUCUUUGAUCUUGACCUGCUCUCUGCAAAGUUUUUGAAUUUCACAGAGAUCAUGAAGAGAGAUCAUCAGAGUCAGCCAAAGAAGCUGCAUUUGCUCUUGCUGCUCUAAUGGAGAUUCCCUUUCAGUAUCAAGCAGCAACUGAACUCAGCUUUCUCGGGAAAACAACGGGCGUAGCUAAGAAAAUAAACCUGAGGCCACCACCUACUCCUUACACACCUACUAUACGUACUGAACUACCAUCACCUGCACCAGACGAACAUAUUCAGAAUUGCCCAAUUUGUCUGACUAACCGGUAAGACGUGGCCUUUGGCUGUGGUCACAUGAGAUUGCUGGAGUACUGAUCACAAGCCGGCUAAGGCUUUACACGUGAUCAGUGCCUUUGCAAAUAACAAAACACUUGCACAUACUGUCUUUCUCCAUCUUAGAGUCUCCAGCUUGGUUUACCAAGUGUCUCUGCAUUGUUCAUGAAUCAGCUUGUACCAUUUAAAUAUCCUAUGUACUAUAGAUGUUAGCUUGCAAACAAUGAUGAUGUAGAAAUGUACAAAACAUGGGUUUUACAUUUUUAUUCACUGUCACAAAAAAAAUGUUUGAAGUGAGUGAAUCUUGCACCAGUUCAAAAACAACAAAGCAUGCCAGAUUCAAGAAGAAGAAACAUGCUAUCUUUGCAUCGAAGAAAGAUUCGAGAGUUGAAUUCUUUGGUAAGGCUUCCUGGUAAGAGUUUCUCCUUUUAGAGCAGCCAUGUAUCUGUCGUUGGUAUCUUGCUUCUGUUUCAACUCCCCGAGUAUGACGACUGACGAGCUACUAUCAACAAACCAUAUUUAACAAAUCAGCCUUAGAUUAUUAACACACAGCUAUGAUCAAGAAAAUUCACUCCAGCAGAGGAAGAAAACUCAGGUACAUAAAACUCCUAUUUACCAUAGAACAACUGGGUUUAAACGACUCAAUGAAUGCCAUGGUGCUUUACAAAGCAGCAGGAAAGAAAGCACGAGACACAACAAUCAUCGAGAUGUGUUCUAAUCCAAAAAAAAAUGAAUCUAAUAAUUGUUGGCAUAUUUUGAUUAUUAGAUUCCAGUUACAAGAAACUGACAAAAUAUCAAAGAUGCACAACAAAAAAUUAACACAUAAUUUUUAAAAUAUUAAAAAAGUAAUUGAGAAACAGAAUAUAACAAGAUAAUAACUCAGAACAAAUUAAUCAAAAGAGCAUAAAUGAAAAAAGUUCAUGAUAUAAUAAGAGAUUAAUGAUAUUGUAUGGAAAUAAAUGCAUUUAUGUCAUGACUUCCAAAAAUAAGUAUAAAUUUACUACUGAUAUACAAACAAAAUGUAUAUAUUUUUCAAAAUAUGGAUUAAAAAGGCAAUA